AGUGUGGUAGGGGCAGAGGGAAUUCCCGGUGUAGCGGUGAAAUGCGUAGAUAUCGGGAAGAACACCAGUGGCGAAGGCGCUCUGCUGGGCCAUCACUGACGCUCAUGGACGAAAGCCAGGGGAGCGAAAGGGAUUAGAUACCCCUGUAGUCCUGGCCGUAAACGAUGGACACUAGGUGUCGGGGGAAUCGACCCCUCCGGUGUCGUAGCCAACGCGUUAAGUGUUCCGCCUGGGGAGUACGCACGCAAGUGUGAAACUCAAAGGAAUUGACGGGGGCCCGCACAAGCGGUGGAGUAUGUGGUUUAAUUCGAUGCAACGCGAAGAACCUUACCAGGGUUUGACAUCCUGCGAAUCUCUUGGAAACUUGAGAGUGCCUUCGGGAACGCAGUGACAGGUGGUGCAUGGCUGUCGUCAGCUCGUGUCGUGAGAUGUUGGGUUAAGUCCCGCAACGAGCGCAACCCACGUCUUUAGUUGCCAGCAUUUAGUUGGGCACUCUAGAGAGACCGCCGGUGAUAAACCGGAGGAAGGUGUGGAUGACGUCAAGUCAUCAUGCCCCUUACAUCCUGGGCUACACACGUACUACAAUGCUACGGACAAAGGGCAGCAAGUUCGCGAGGACAAGCAAAUCCCAUAAACCGUAGCUCAGUUCAGAUCGUAGGCUGCAACUCGCCUACGUGAAGGAGGAAUCGCUAGUAAUCGCAGGUCAGCAUACUGCGGUGAAUACGUUCCCGGGCCUUGUACACACCGCCCGUCACACCAUGGAAGUUGGCCACGCCCGAAGCCGUUACUCCAACCCUUGUGGAGGAGGACGUCGAAGGUGGGGCUGAUGACUGGGGUGAAGUCGUAACAAGGUAGCCGUA
rnacentral:rRNA from 1 species